rnacentral:rRNA from 1 species
AGCAGCCGCGGUAAUUCCAGCUCCAAUAGCGUAUAUUAAAGUUGUUGCAGUUAAAAAGCUCGUAGUUGAAUUUCGGGGUCAGUAGGUCGGUCGUGCCACUGGUAUGAACUGGUCUCACUGAUUCCUCCCUCUUGUAGAACCGUGAUGCCAUUAAUUUGGUGUUGCGGGGAAACAGGACUGUUACUUUGAAAAAAUUAGAGUGUUUAAAGCAAGCUAACGCUUGAAUACAUUAGCAUGGAACAAUGAAAUAGGACGUCGAUCUUAUUUUGUUGGUUUCUAGGGUUGACGUAAUGAUUAAUAGGGAUAGUUGGGGGCAUUAGUAUUCAAUUGUCAGAGGUGAAAUUCUUGGAUUUAUUGAAGACUAACUACUGCGAAAGCAUUUGCCAAGGAUGUUUUCAUUAAUCAAGAACGAAGUUAGGGGAUCGAAGACGAUCAGAUACCGUCGUAGUCUUAACCAUAAACUAUGCCACUAGGGAUCGGAUGAUGUUAAUUUUUAUGUACUCAUUCGCGCCUUACGGGA